rnacentral:rRNA from 1 species
GGUUAAGCGACUAAGCGUACACGGUGGAUGCCCUGGCAGUCAGAGGCGAUGAAGGACGUGCUAAUCUGCGAAAAGCGUCGGUAAGGUGAUAUGAACCGUUAUAACCGGCGAUGUCCGAAUGGGGAAACCCAGUGCAAUUCGUUGCACUAUCGUUAACUGAAUACAUAGGUUAACGAGGCGAACCGGGGGAACUGAAACAUCUAAGUACCCCGAGGAAAAGAAAUCAACCGAGAUUCCCCCAGUAGCGGCGAGCGAACGGGGAGCAGCCCAGAGUCUGAAUCAGCUUGUGUGUUAGUGGAACGGUCUGGAAAGUCCGACGGUACAGGGUGAUAGUCCCGUACACCAAAAUGCACAGGCUGUGAACUCGAAGAGUAGGGCGGGACACGUGGUAUCCUGUCUGAAUAUGGGGGGACCAUCCUCCAAGGCUAAAUACUCCUGACUGACCGAUAGUGAACCAGUACCGUGAGGGAAAGGCGAAAAGAACCCCGGCGAGGGGAGUGAAAAAGAACCUGAAACCGUGUACGUACAAGCAGUGGGAGCACCUUCGGGUGUGACUGCGUACCUUUUGUAUAAUGGGUCAGCGACUUAUAUUCUGUAGCAAGGUUAACCGUAUAGGGGAGCCGCAGGGAAACCGAGUCUUAACUGGGCGUUAAGUUGCAGGGUAUAGACCCGAAACCCGGUGAUCUAGCCAUGGGCAGGUUGAAGGUUGGGUAACACUAACUGGAGGACCGAACCGACUAAUGUUGAAAAAUUAGCGGAUGACUUGUGGCUGGGGGUGAAAGGCCAAUCAAACCGGGAGAUAGCUGGUUCUCCCCGAAAGCUAUUUAGGUAGCGCCUCGUGAAUUCAUCUUCGGGGGUAGAGCACUGUUUCGGCUAGGGGGUCAUCCCGACUUACCAACCCGAUGCAAACUACGAAUACCGAAGAAUGUUAUCACGGGAGACACACGGCGGGUGCUAACGUCCGUCGUGAAGAGGGAAACAACCCAGACCGCCAGCUAAGGUCCCAAAGUCAUGGUUAAGUGGGAAACGAUGUGGGAAGGCACAGACAGCCAGGAUGUUGGCUUAGAAGCAGCCAUCAUUUAAAGAAAGCGUAAUAGCUCACUGGUCGAGUCGGCCUGCGCGGAAGAUGUAACGGGGCUAAACCAUGCACCGAAGCUGCGGCAGCGACACUAUGUGUUGUUGGGUAGGGGAGCGUUCUGUAAGCCUGCGAAGGUGACCUGUGAGGGUUGCUGGAGGUAUCAGAAGUGCGAAUGCUGACAUAAGUAACGAUAAAGCGGGUGAAAAGCCCGCUCGCCGGAAGACCAAGGGUUCCUGUCCAACGUUAAUCGGGGCAGGGUGAGUCGACCCCUAAGGCGAGGCCGAAAGGCGUAGUCGAUGGGAAACAGGUUAAUAUUCCUGUACUUGGUGUUACUGCGAAGGGGGGACGGAGAAGGCUAUGUUAGCCGGGCGACGGUUGUCCCGGUUUAAGCAUGUAGGCUGGUUAUCCAGGCAAAUCCGGAUAAUCAAGGCUGAGGUGUGAUGACGAGGCACUACGGUGCUGAAGUAACAAAUGCCCUGCUUCCAGGAAAAGCCUCUAAGCAUCAGGUAACAUUAAAUCGUACCCCAAACCGACACAGGUGGUCAGGUAGAGAAUACCAAGGCGCUUGAGAGAACUCGGGUGAAGGAACUAGGCAAAAUGGUGCCGUAACUUCGGGAGAAGGCACGCUGGUGUGUAGGUGAAGCCCCUGCGGGUGGAGCUGAGACCAGUCGAAGAUACCAGCUGGCUGCAACUGUUUAUUAAAAACACAGCACUGUGCAAACACGAAAGUGGACGUAUACGGUGUGACGCCUGCCCGGUGCCGGAAGGUUAAUUGAUGGGGUUAUCCGUAAGGAGAAGCUCUUGAUCGAAGCCCCGGUAAACGGCGGCCGUAACUAUAACGGUCCUAAGGUAGCGAAAUUCCUUGUCGGGUAAGUUCCGACCUGCACGAAUGGCGUAAUGAUGGCCAGGCUGUCUCCACCCGAGACUCAGUGAAAUUGAACUCGCUGUGAAGAUGCAGUGUACCCGCGGCAAGACGGAAAGACCCCGUGAACCUUUACUAUAGCUUGACACUGAACAUUGAGCCUUGAUGUGUAGGAUAGGUGGGAGGCUUUGAAGCGUGGACGCCAGUCUGCGUGGAGCCAACCUUGAAAUACCACCCUUUAAUGUUUGAUGUUCUAACGUUGGCCCCUGACCGGGGUUGCGGACAGUGUCUGGUGGGUAGUUUGACUGGGGCGGUCUCCUCCCAAAGCGUAACGGAGGAGCACGAAGGUUAGCUAAUCCUGGUCGGACAUCAGGAGGUUAGUGCAAUGGCAUAAGCUAGCUUGACUGCGAGCGUGACGGCGCGAGCAGGUGCGAAAGCAGGUCAUAGUGAUCCGGUGGUUCUGAAUGGAAGGGCCAUCGCUCAACGGAUAAAAGGUACUCCGGGGAUAACAGGCUGAUACCGCCCAAGAGUUCAUAUCGACGGCGGUGUUUGGCACCUCGAUGUCGGCUCAUCACAUCCUGGGGCUGAAGUAGGUCCCAAGGGUAUGGCUGUUCGCCAUUUAAAGUGGUACGCGAGCUGGGUUUAGAACGUCGUGAGACAGUUCGGUCCCUAUCUGCCGUGGGCGCUGGAGAAUUGAGGGGGGCUGCUCCUAGUACGAGAGGACCGGAGUGGACGCAUCACUGGUGUUCGGGUUGUCAUGCCAAUGGCACUGCCCGGUAGCUAAAUGCGGAAGAGAUAAGUGCUGAAAGCAUCUAAGCACGAAACUUGCCCCGAGAUGAGUUCUCCCUGAGACUUUAAGUCUCCUGAAGGAACGUUAAAGACGAUGACGUUGAUAGGCCGGGUGUGUAAGCGCAGCGAUGCGUUGAGCUAACCGGUACUAAUGAACCGUGAGGCUUAACCUUAC